AAUUUUUUUAUGACUCUACCUAAGACUCAGGUGGCGCAAGCCUUAAUCCAGUACCUGCCGAGGAGUAAUAAUUAAUUAUUUACUUGGGAAAAUAGUCUCUGUGUCUAGGUAGGCAUAGGGAUUUUUAUAUGGGAAA
rfam:Lactobacillus ghanensis DSM 18630 NODE_33, whole genome shotgun sequence.